AGGUUUCCCUUCUCUCACAAACAGGCUUGGAAAGAGAGGCUCAGCAGAGAGAAGCUCCUUCCUCCCAGGCUUCAGGAAAGAAAGAGAGUGAAGUGACUGUUGCACUUUCAAAACUCUUCCUCCUCUGCCUGCAUUCCAGAAUCCUCUCUUCAGAGUUUCUAGCAUGUGCACAUUCGAGUCUCUUAAAGACAACCUUCAACUUCACUUUAACUCUGACUUUUAUUUCUAUAAUCCUAUUUCUACAGAAUCAGCCAGAGAUGGCUAUGUUGUCUCCCGGAGGCUACACCCAUGAAGCUGUUCUGAAUUCUCUCUCUACAUCAAAAUGGUAGUGGUAUAGAUAUUACUCAGUAUGUAUAAAGAAUAUAUACAUUUCUGAGUUCUCCAUAAGGUUGAUGAAUCAACAACAACAAAAACAACAAAACAUUUAUAGGAUGCUUACUGUGUGUCUGGCAUACUGCUAAGCAAUUGGGGUACAAAUAAAAAAGCUAGAUAAUCCUUCACCUCAAACAUCUUAUAUUCUUAUAUUCUUCACCUCAAACAUCUUAUAUUCUUAUUCUCUCUCUCUCUCUCUCAACUACAUGAAACUUGAGAGACACCUCAUUAUAGGCAGUGAACAUACCAUUUUAGGAGGUAAAUGAUGAGGGGGAUUCUGUGGAAAGCUCAUAACAUAUUAGAAAUGAGACUUUUCUCUACAAAUUUUAUUACCUUUUGGGAAAAGUGUCUCCCUUAAGUGACUGAUGAAAACUAUCCAUAUUACACAUUACUAGACUCUAGCUGAACUGUGAAGAAAUAUAUCCUCAUCAUUCAGUCUGAAAAGUUGAGUUCUCAAUUCCUUUUGCCUGAGAGCAUGAAGCUACAUGGGAUUCAGUUAAUUAAUAAACUAAAUCUACCCUUUUCUAAAAAUCCCCUGAAUAUUCCUUCAUGGUUUGAUAUACUCUUUGGAAUUUGACUAAAGUUUAAGGGAGAUAUGACUGUGAUUUAAAUAGCUUAGUAGCAAUAGCAGAUAUAACAACUGAAGACCAUAUUAGGUUCCAAAUCAGCUGUCUAUUCAUUGUUUUUAUAAUUCUUCAUUCAUUUCCAGUUUAUUUUCUAGUCCUCUAGUGUGAUCCUCAAUUUAUAAGUCCUCUCUGAGCAAAUCUCCUUUUAAUUGUCCAUGUGGAGGUAUGAAUGUCUAGUCACCUUAUCUCUGGGGCUGCAGUGGCAAUGAGAUAGGAGGAUCUAGAUCUGCCAGAGGAGAGAUCCCCACACCUUCAUCUGGGCCAUACCACAGAUAUAUCAAUGGAAAGGCACUAUUUCAAUAAUUUUUGGAAUGCACUCUUUAUGAGCCCAAAGAACUCAGGAGACCUAGGUCAGAUUAUUUAGAGGAAAAAGGAAGCAUCACCACCAAAGGGGUGACAGGAUAAGAUAUAUGGAAUUUUAGAGAUGGAACAAACUUUAGUCCAAACCAAACUCACAAAAGGUUAAUUUCUCCCCUCUACGUCAUGGAUGAAUUAAAAGUCUUGAUUUUCAAUAGAAUGCAAGUUUCUUGAGGGCAAAGGAUUUUUAUUUUAUUUUGGCUUUGGUUUUGUAUCUUCAUUGUGUACCCACUUUUUGCACAUUUUUACAUAAACCUCUCCUUCCUCCCCUCAUUUCUUUUACCUCUUUCUCAAAUAGGGAAUAACUUUGGAGUAGGGAACCCCUAUUGAGUAAAUUCUCCCUACUACUGAUCAUCUUCAACUGCUCAAGAAUUCACAGGCUUAGAAAUUUGUAUAGAGGUUCCAAGAGAUUCUAUGAUUAAUCCAAGGUCAUAGAUUCAUGAGGUGGUUAAUUCAAUAUUUGAUCCAGGGUCUUCCGGACACUAAAAUAAUUUGUUUAUCUAAUUCUCUACUCCUUUUCAAAGCAUAGAAAAUGUGUUUUACAAAUGUUUGUUGAAGUGACUUAUUGCCUCUCCCUUCUCAUUGCAUUUUAUUUUGUGCCUUGUAACUGAGUUUCUAACAUCAACAACAAAAAAAAUGUAUUUCUGAAAUGUAUUUUCUUCAUUAAAAUA